GACAGAGGAUGCAAGCGUUAUCCGGAAUGAUUGGGCGUAAAGCGUCUGUAGGUGGCUUUUUAAGUCCGCCGUCAAAUCCCAGGGCUCAACCCUGGACAGGCGGUGGAAACUACCAAGCUGGAGUACGGUAGGGUAGAGGGAAUUUCCAGUGGAGCGGUGAAAUGUGUAGAUAUUGGAAAGACCACCGAUGGCGAAGGCACUCUACUGGGCCAUGACUGACACUGAGAGACGAAAGCUAGGGGAGCAAAUGGG
rnacentral:rRNA from 1 species